UGUCGUCAGCUCGUGUCGUGAGAUGUUGGGUUAAGUCCCGCAACGAGCGCAACCCUUAUCUUUAGUUGCCAUCAUUAGGUUGGGCACUCUAGAGAGACUGCCGGUGACAAACCGGAGGAAGGUGGGGAUGACGUCAAAUCAUCAUGCCCCUUAUGAUUUGGGCUACACACGUGCUACAAUGGAUGGUACAAAGGGCAGCAAAACCGCGAGGUCAAGCAAAUCCCAUAAAACCAUUCUCAGUUCGGAUUGUAAUCUGCAACUCGACUACAUGAAGCUGGAAUCGCUAGUAAUCGUAGAUCAGCAUGCUACGGUGAAUACGUUCCCGGGUCU
rnacentral:rRNA from 1 species